rnacentral:rRNA from 1 species
GACGGGGGGUCCUAGCGUUGUUCGGAAUCAUUGGGCGUAAAGCGGGCGUAGGUGGCUAUGUAAGUCAGGAGUGAAAGCCCUGGGCUCAACCCAGGAAGUGCUUUUGAAACUGCGUAGCUUGAGUGUGGAAGAGGAUAGUGGAAUUCCUGGUGUAGUGGUGAAAUACGUAGAUAUCAGGAGGAACACCGGCGGCGAAGGCGGCUAUCUGGUCCAACACUGACACUGAGGCCCGAAAGCGUGGGGAGCGAUCGG